AAAAUCGCCAUCUAUGGCUUGUUCAACGAAAUGAGUUAGGAGAUGCAAAUGAAAUAAUUAUGUACUAAAAGUGUGAAAAAUGAACGGGACACCAGCUAUUGGUUGGCGAAUGAUAGUGUUGAAUACAGGAGUGAAUUUUCAUAGGUUUUCUGUCGAAAAAAUGUUGUAAUAUCUGAAGAUUUAUGGUUACCUACACCGAGAUUCUUCUGAUGUCAUCAAGAUCAAAGAAACAGAAAAUUACAUGAUUAAUUUUUUUAAUAUAUAAUAGAAAUUAUAUAAAUAAACAUAUUAUAACGCAAAUCAGAUAAAUAAAAUCGUAUGUAUUAAAUUGUUUAAUAUGAAUACAUAUACAUAUUAAUUAAUAUAUAUACACAUAUAGGGUGAUUCAGUAAGUCUAUGACAAAGCGAUAUCUCCGUUAUUUUGAAUGAUACGAAAAAAUUCCGAAGGAAUGAAUUGUUUAUUUCAAAGAAGUAUAUAUUACGAUGUAAAUAAAUUCUUUCUUAAGAUGAUUCUUUUUAAUAUUUCAAGAUUAUCAAGAAAAUUAAAAAAAAAAAAAUAGAAUUAUAUAUUAUCAUCAUUGAGACAUAAUAAAUCAAAACGAAUUUAACGAUCAAUAAUUUUAUGAUCUUCACAUAACCUUCAAUUUAAUCUAAAUUAUCCCUUUGAAUCGAACAAUUCGUUCCUUCAGCAAUUCCUCGUAUCAGUAAUAAAACUAACGGAAAGAUCACUUUGUAGCAGAAUUAUUGAGAUACCGUGUAUACAUAAUACAUACAUACACACAACACACACAAUUUUAAUUUUAAUUUUAAUUUUACAAAUUUUAUUUACUUUAAUUUAUUAAUUUUAUACAAUUUAUAUACAAUUAUUAUUUACAACUAAGAAUUUAAAUAAAAAUGUGCUAGUGGAUUAAUUGUGAGACUUAUAAUUACGUACUUGAAAAGAUGUCAUGUUGAAAAAAAAAUAACAAGUAAAAAUAAAAAAUAGUGUAUAGAAUGUAGAUAAUAGAUAAAAUAAAGAAAAUGUAUAUAAGUUUACAGAUACUUUUAAUCUCAAGUAAUUAAGAUGAGGUUAGAAAUAUAUAGAUUUAACUAUCGGAAUUACUGAAGCACAGUAAACCAAUAGGUGGACAUUUAUUAAAAUCAAAAAGAGAAAACAGAACUUAGUGCAGUUUUUAUGUAAUAUGAGAACAACUAUAAAUUUGGAGAAGGAUGAAAAACAUAAGAAAAAGUUAGAUGGACUUAGAAGUCCAUCUUUAGAAAUCAAAAUGAUUAACUCUAUCAAAUAAAAAUAAAAAAAAAAAAUAAAAAUUAAUAAACUUGCACAAUGAUUUAAAAAAUUUUUUGUGAAUGAUAUGAACAAAUAAAAAUUGCAAAAUUUAUAAUUAAAUAUAUAUAAUAUUUAUAAUCUAAUGUAUAUAAUAUAUAAAACAUAUAUAUCAAAUUAAUUUCUGAAAUGUUAUUUAUUAUUCAGUAAAAACCAAAAUUUUUACCAUAUUAAGGUGAUGAAUAGAUACUAUCAAAAUAAUUUAUUUAUUUAUAUUUAAUUGAAUACUUAUGCAUGUUUUUUGGUAUUCAAGUUAGAAAAAUGAUCAAAGAUGGAGUUAAUCAAUUUAAUCCAUUGACAUACUGAUUUUUUACCAGAAAAGAUAGAUAAAGAAUAAAAGUAUAUAGAAAUGAAAAGAAUAUCAAUAAUUAACUACUUUGUAACAAAUUGGAAAGGACUUCUAAAAAUAGAAAAAUUACAAAUAUAAGAGGAUUAAUUAUACCUAUAGUAAUUUGUUAUAAGAAUCUGUAAAAUGUAAAAAUAAGGGAAAAUGAUAAAAGAGGUAUAUUUAGAAGAAAAACAAUUGUUUUAAUAAGUUCACAUAGGAAAGGAAAAGAAAAGAAAGAAAUAAGAAAUACAAAUUUGUAAUAGAAAUAUGAAAAUAUAUUCAUAGAGAUGAUUUUUAGUGUUGAAAGAAUAAAGAAUAGAAUGGAAAGUAAGUUUUCUUACUAGGUAAAAAGUAGAUAUAGUAACGAAAAAACUAGGGAGGCAGAGGGAAAAAGGUUUAAAAAGUAAAAGAAAUAUGAAAAGAUGAUAAAGAAGUGCAUAAAUCUUUGGAAAAAUAGAGGAAUAAAAAUAAAUUAAUUUUUAGGACAAACAUGGUACAAUAGAAGAUGUUAAGAAACAGGAAAAGAACAAGAAACAGGUGGUGAUGGUGUAAAUGAAAAAAUAGGGAAGAGGUUAAAAAAUGAAAAAUUGCCUUAAUGCGGAGAAAAAUAAUGUGAAAAAGAUGGAGAGUGAAAUAGAAAAUAAAACGCUAGAGAGAAUAAAUAAAAGAAAGGAAAAUAAAAGGAAAAUCAAGAAAUUAAUAUUGAAUUUACCAAUUAGUUAAAAUGAUUGAUUUCAACUGUUAUUAUAAAAGUUGCUAUUUUAAAUUUCAUCACGUUUUUUCUCAAGAUAUUACGACUUUUUUAUUUUAUACAUAUAAUCAGUUUUAUAAUUUUCUUAUUUCUUUUGUUUUUCCAAAGAUACAUAUUAUAGAAAUACAGAUGAUAAGGGAAGAAGUAAAAAGAAAGAAGAAAAGAGAGUUUGUGGGAGAAAUAGGAAGAUUGGUAGUAUAAGAAUGAGAUGUUAAUACAUUGAAUGUCAUGUUGGUCAUCUAUGACCGAAGAUUAUUUCCUUAACGGAGCCAUGAUGGUUAUUAGUGACUGCAGUACUUUAAAUGUUUCUUAUUACUUUGUCAUUAUAUGUUUAGAAUAUUGAAAAUUCUCAUGCAGCCCUGAAAACAUCAUUUAAAUUUGAAUAAUGAAGAUUAUUUUAUGCAACUUUUGAGAAGAGUUAUAGAAAAUAGAAAAGUAGAAGGCAUAUAAUAAGGAUGAAAUAGAAUUAACAGAAGGAGUAAUCGACGUUUACAUAAAAAAACUAGAUUACAAAUAAGAUAUGGAUUUUCUACAGUAUUUCAAUAAGAAAAAAUUAAAGAAAUUGAUUACAAAAGUCUAGAAUAGAGAAAGAAGGCUUUCUGCAAAAAUGAAGAGAAGGAAUUAGCUUAUCUUUACAUAAUAAAUUCAAGUAGGGUAAUUCAAAUAACUAUAGAGAUAUUAUUUUUCUAAGCAAUGCACGUAAGAUCUAUGCACUUAUGUUAAAGGAGAUUUGACAAAGGGAUAGAAAACAAGAAAAUUCAGUUAGAAAAAUCGAAUCCAUAAUAGAUAAUAUUUAUAUCCUGCAAUAUAUAAUAAAAAAAGAAGUAGGAAUGUAGAAGAGAUAAACAAGAUUAAUUGAAAUAAUAAAGGAAAUCUAUGUGGGUAAAGAAACAUACUUAAAGAUGAUAACAAACUAUUAGUGAUUAUGAAUAGAAACCUGUUAGAAGGUUUUCGGAAAAUAAAUGAAAUGAGACAAGGAUACCUAAUUAAAAAUACUCUCUUCAUUAUAUUCAUUUUGGGCAUGAAAGAGAAAAGAACUAUGUUGUAUCAUUAACAUGAUAAUUUGAUAGCCAAAUAUAGAGAAAUAAGUGAUUGAUGAAACAUAAAAUAAUGAAGACAUUAAAUGAAUUCUUGGCACCAACUAAUUCAAAACUAUGGUAUUCUGCAAAACAAAAAUAAAAAGAGUAAACGAAGAAACAAAUGAUUGAAUAAGUUCAAGAAGUUAAAGAAUGAACAAAUUAAACAUGUAUAAAAGUUAUUGAAGAAAAUGAAUGUCUUAAUAAAAAAAAAAGUAUCUUCAAGGAUGAUUUUAACAAAAAAAUGAAUGUAGGACUGGGUAAAUAAUAUUUGUUAGAAGUGUGUAGUAUGUUAGCAUACAACUUAUGUCAUUACGUUUUGCUGUUCGAAGAACAUUUUUUUGAAAAUAAAUUAUUUUUAUGGUUUUUAAUAGUGGAAUAGUUAAAGAAUGUUGGAAGAAACAUGGAAAAAAGUAAGAAAUUAAGAAAAAGAAAUAAAAAUUCGGAUAAAAAUUAAAGACUAGCAGAAUAAAUAAAAUAGUAGCAGAAAGAAGAGUAGAGAACAGAUUACACAGUAAAAGUGACUACUACUAUUAUACUAUUAUUGCUAUGUCAUUGAUGGUUUCUAUCUCAAGAAUGAGAUGUCCUAUUAGAGGCUUUGAAAAAAGAUUAAAAUUAAAAAAUUUUUUUAUAAACGAUUGACGGAGAUGAAAUAAAUUUGUUUUUACUUAAUGUAUAUGUAUUGAGAACAUUAAAAAAAAAUUAUUCGAGAAUAUCGAAAAACAAAAAAAUAUGAGUUUUUUUUUUGCAAAUUUUUUUGGUCCAAUUAAAAACUAAAUGGACUAUUCAAAUUAAUUAAUAAAUAUAAGUCAAUGACGAUAACUGAUUUUUGAAAUCAAUUUUCUUUGCAAAAUGGUAGUGAAUUGAAAAUUAAGCAUGGAAAAUCUAUGAAAAAAAGUUAUUUUUACAUUUAUCUUGUCCAAUCUAUCUGAAUAUUUGAUUUACGAAAAAGACUUGUAAAUAUUAAAAUUGUUUAGUUAUUUCUUAAUGAAAUUCUUUAUUUAUUUCAAAAUUUGAAGAAAGAUAUUAAGGCUAUUCAUCAUCUUUGGUUUUAUAAUGAUUUAUACUAAAAAUCAGAACAGGCUAAUUUUGUUAACUAGUUUUGAUGAACGAUUUAAAGACGAAAAUUUAAUCUAGGAUCUUACUUCAUCGAAUUUUUGAAAAAGCUUUAUUUUCUUUGAAAAAAAUCGUGUUAAAAAAUGGUAUGUUUUCAAGAAUAUUUUAUACAUAAAUAUAAAGCUUUUUCAAAAAUUCGAAAAGCAGGGUCUUGAAUUAAACCAUUCUAUUUAAAAUAAGAUCUUAUUUAUCAAAAUCGGUCAAGAAUUACGUUUAUUCUCAUAAUUGGCAUAAAUAUUAUUUUUCACAUUUUUGAUAAAGAAAUUUUUGGUAAAGAUUUGUAAUUGAAUUGUAGGUCGAGACCAUUAGUUUUUUUUUUCUUGUAUCGAUGUAAAUGAAAAUAAUCAACUAAUUUAGAGUAAAAUAAAAAUUGAAUUUAAAUAAUUCAAAUUUUAUUUAAUUUUAAAUUAAAAUGAUAAAUUAAAUCAAUUUAAUUUUAAAUCGAUAGUAUCACGAAAUCUAUUUAUCUAAUGGAUAAAUAAUAAAGGGUUGUUCCGCAUUUCAUAUUAUCGAAAGGUUUUAUGUUCUCAUGGUUAAAUUUUUAAACCUCUAUGUAUUCAACGCGGUUAUUCUUAAAUCCAUUAUAUCACGUGCUUUAUUUCUUAUAUCUAAACAGUUGAUUAUCGUUUUUGUGACUUACGACUAUGAUGAAUAAAUCUAUGUUCCUGUAAAUGUCAUUUUCAAAUAUCUUUAACUUGACAUACUCCAUUACUCCAUAUACUUUGAAAUUAUCUCUAUUAGAAAUGGAAAAUUUGUAAACCUUAAUCACAUUCCCAUAAACUCUGUAGAAGUAAAGAAUAUGAUAUAUAUUAAAGUAUGUUUAUUUUA